rnacentral:rRNA from 1 species
GACGAACGCUGGCGGCGUGCCUAAUACAUGCAAGUCGAACGCAUUUUCUUUCACCGUAGCUUGCUACACCGAAAGAAAAUGAGUGGCGAACGGGUGAGUAACACGUGGGUAACCUGCCCAUCAGCGGGGGAUAACACUUGGAAACAGGUGCUAAUACCGCAUAAUUCCAUUUACCGCAUGGUAGAUGGGUGAAAGGCGCCUUUGCGUCACUGAUGGAUGGACCCGCGGUGCAUUAGCUAGUUGGUGGGGUAACGGCCUACCAAGGCUGCGAUGCAUAGCCGACCUGAGAGGGUGAUCGGCCACACUGGGACUGAGACACGGCCCAGACCCCUACGGGAGGCAGCAGUAGGGAAUCUUCGGCAAUGGACGCAAGUCUGACCGAGCAACGCCGCGUGAGUGAAGAAGGUUUUCGGAUCGUAAAACUCUGUUGUUAGAGAAGAACAAGGAUGAGAGUGGAAAGUUCAUCCCUUGACGGUAGCUAACCAGAAAGCCACGGCUAACUACGUG